AGAAGAUGAUUCUGUUUCCAUUUUGAUAUCAGGUUCAUAAGCAGGGUGUUGCACUUGGAAGAUCUGUUGACUUGACGAAGUUUGAUGGUUAUGACCAAUUGAUCGAGGAGUUAGAUCAGCUAUUUGAAUUCAAAGGAGAAUUGAUGGCUCCAAAUAAAAAUUGGAUGAUUGUAUUUACUGAUAAUGAGGAUGAUAUGAUGCUUGUUGGAGAUGACCCUUGGCAGGAAUUUUGUGCUAUGGUCCGUAAGAUUUUUAUAUACACAAAAGAGGAGGUCCAGAAGAUGGAUUCAAGUACCUUGAACCCAAAAAAUGAAGAUUGUCCUGAUAUGAAAGAGAAUGUCAAGGAAACAAAAGGCAGUCAAUCUGCAUCAUCAUCUAAUUCAAAAAACUCAUAGGCUUAUCCUGCAAUGAUCUUGAAGCACAAACAAAGUGAUUGUUUGUGCUUUAUCUAAGUGAUUGUUU